UACGAAGGGGGCUAGCGUUGCUCGGAAUGACUGGGCGUAAAGGGCGCGUAGGCGGUUCGUACAGUCAGACGUGAAAUCCCCCGGCUUAACCUGGGAACUGCGUCUGAUACUGGGAGGCUUGAGUAUGGGAGAGGGAUGUAGAAUUCCAGGUGUAGCGGUGAAAUGCGUAGAUAUCUGGAGGAAUAUCGGUGGCGAAGGCGGCAUCCUGGACCAUUACUGACGCUGAGGCGCGAAAGCUAGGGGAGCAAACGGG
rnacentral:rRNA from 1 species